AAUGAAGGCGGGCUGGAACCUCUCGGGGUUACAGCCUUGCUGAAUUAUUCACCCUUGUCUUUUGCGUACUUCUUGUUUCCUUGGUGGGUUCGCCCACCACUAGGACAAACAUAAACCUUUUGUAAUUGCAAUCAGCGUCAGUAACAAAUUAAUAAUUACAACUUUCAACAACGGAUCUCUUGGUUCUGGCAUCGAUGAAGAACGCAGCGAAAUGCGAUAAGUAGUGUGAAUUGCAGAAUUCAGUGAAUCAUCGAAUCUUUGAACGCACAUUGCGCCCUUUGGUAUUCCAAAGGGCAUGCCUGUUCGAGCGUCAUUUGUACCCUCAAGCUUUGCUUGGUGUUGGGCGUCUUGUCUCUAGCUUUGCUGGAGACUCGCCUUAAAGUAAUUGGCAGCCGGCCUACUGGUUUCGGAGCGCAGCACAAGUCGCACUCUCUAUCAGCAAAGGUCUAGCAUCCAUUAAGCCUUUUUUUCAACUUUUGACCUCGGAUCAGGUAGGGAUACCCGCUGAACUUAAGCAUAUCAAUAAGCGGAGGAAAA
rnacentral:rRNA from 1 species